CUUCGAUUAAGGUUCGACUCGAGCGGAAGCGAGAGAACGUUGCCAACGGCAACGGCCCGAAGGGCGCGACGCGCCGAGUCAUCCUUCCCCCACCACAA
rnacentral:sRNA from 1 species